GUGGUGUCCCGGCCAGGCCCAGCGGGAGAGUGGGAAGAAACACAAAAGAAGGCGGCAGGAUCCCAUGUGUUUCUAAUCCAAAGAAUAUCACUGGGAGACUCUUGGCUUUUCCUUCAGGUACUCUGUUCACAUGGGCAUCUGCCCGAGUUGGCUUUGCUUCUCCCUUGGAGACAUUCAGAACUGUUUGGGAUUCUGUCGCAUGGAAAUCUACUAAGCCAAAACAGAGCUGGGACAACUCUUCAAUUACUUGGAAAAAGUUUAUGGCUACUAUGGUUUCCUCUUCUUCAAGGAAGAUAUGCCCUGUUUCUUCAACUGUACCUCAAAUAUUUUGGUCCUAAGCUCUUCCCACACCCUGGUCAUGGUGUAAGCACAAGUGUAAUUGUGGGACAUAUUCCCUUUCUUUUGCAUUUAGAUAGUUAUGUGGGCAACUUACCAGAGGCAGAGAUGAAGGGCGGUCUGCUCGGAAACUGUUUUCAGCAGAAGAUGGAUUGGGACUGUUACCAACACUUGUAUUCUGAAAUUAUUGGAACAAAACGAAAAGCCAGAUUAACUAUGAAACCAUAAGAAAUACAGAAGAGAGACAGUAAUUGAGGCUCAGGGACAUCAUACUCACUUCUAAGUGUCCACACACAGAUUUUAGUAGUUUGUAAGUUGAAUCUCUGGAGAGUAAGGAGACAAAUAUGUACUGAAAAACAAAACAGGAUAAUUAUGAAUAGAUAUUGCCGGAUGA
rnacentral:lncRNA from 10 species